UACGAAGGGGCUAGCGUUGUUCGGAAUUACUGGGCGUAAAGCGCGUGUAGGCGGGUCUUUAAGUCAGGGGUGAAAUGCCAAGGCUCAACCUUGGAACUGCCUUUGAUACUGGAGACCUUGAGUCCGGGAGAGGUGAGUGGAAUUGCGAGUGUAGAGGUGAAAUUCGUAGAUAUUCGCAAGAACACCAGUGGCGAAGGCGGCUCACUGGCCCGGAACUGACGCUGAGACGCGAAAGCGUGGGGAGCAAACAGG
rnacentral:rRNA from 1 species